rnacentral:rRNA from 1 species
UGGGGAAUAUUGCACAAUGGAGGGAACUCUGAUGCAGCGACGCCGCGUGAACGAAGAAGGCUUUCGAGUCGUAAAGUUCUUUUAUAUGGGAAGAUAAUGACGGUACCAUAAGAAAAAGCCCCGGCUAACUACGUGCCAGCAGCCGCGGUAAUACGUAGGGGGCUAGCGUUGUCCGGAAUCACUGGGCGUAAAGGGUUCGCAGGCGGAAAUGCAAGUCAGGUGUAAAAGGCAGUAGCUUAACUACUGUAAGCAUUUGAAACUGCAUAUCUUGAGAAGAGUAGAGGUAAGUGGAAUUUUUAGUGUAGCGGUGAAAUGCGUAGAUAUUAAAAAGAAUACCGGUGGCGAAGGCGACUUACUGGGCACAUUAUGACGCUGAGGAACGAAAGCGUGGGUAGCAAACAGG